AGAAACCUUACCCUUGGUGAAAUCUCCCACAGAUCAGCAAGAAAUAGACUAACAAUUUGGUAGAAAAAUGGGGCUAGGAUAUAAACAGUUCAUAGGAAAGGACACCUGAUAUCAUUAAUGAUUAGGGAGACAAAUUGGGUAGCUAAGAGCAGGGGUGGGAGAGAAACUUUAUAGUAUUUUCCUCUGUAGCUUUUGAAUUUUAAGGCAUAUGAAUGGAUUUUUUUUUAAUUGUAAUUAAAGUAUAAUUUUUUUAAAGGAGAAAUUUUGGAGUCAUUUAACUUGUAAGACAAAGGCUAUCUUGUAAUAAGAAUAGUGUUCUUCCUAUUUUCUCUAAAGUUUGGAUUGGCAUACAUUGGUUUUCUUAGGACAGAACCCACUCUACUAGACCUAUUUAACCCCAUGACAGAGCCUAGAAGGAACAGGUGUAAUAGAAGAUGGCAUUUAUGGCAAGAAGGUUGAUCAAGUUCUCCAUUAGAAUUUGAACCAGAUCUAAUGCCUUUUCUUCCCUUGUUUAAGAACGGCCCGGGAUGUUGGACUUCACGGGCAAGGCCAAGUGGGAUGCCUGGAAUGAGCUGAAAGGGACUUCCAAGGAAGAUGCCAUGAAAGCUUACAUCAACAAAGUAGAAGAGCUAAAGAAAAAAUACGGGAUAUGAGAGACUGGAUUUGAUUACUGUGCCUUGUGUUUAUCCUAAACUGAGACAAUGCCUUGUUUUUUUCUAAUACUGUGGAUGGUGGGAAUUCGGGAAAAUAACCAGUUAACCCAGCUGCUCAAGGCUGCUCACCAUACGGCUCUAACAGAUUAGGGGCUAAAACGAUUACUGACCUUCCUUGAGUA
rnacentral:sRNA from 1 species